rnacentral:rRNA from 1 species
GAUGAACGCUGGCGGCGUGCCUAAUACAUGCAUAUCGAGCGACAAGGGGAAGGUUGCGUAACACGUGGAUAACCUCCUAUAAAACUGGGAUAACUUCGGGAAACCAUAGCUAACCCGGAUACUUAUAGAUGGAUCCGCGCUCCAUUAGCUAGUUGGUCAGGUAACUGCUUACCAAGGCAACGAUCCAUAGCCGACCUGCGAGGGUGAUCGGCCACACUGGAACUGUGACACGGUCCAGACUCAGACGAGAGGAAGCAGUAGGGAAUCCUCCGCAAUGGGCGAGAGUCUGACUGAGCAACGGCGCGUGAGUUAUGAAGGUCUUCGGAUCGUAAUGCUUUGUUAGUAGGGAAGCGGCACCUAAUCAGAAAGCCACGGCUAACUACGUGCCAGCAGCCGCGGUAAUAC